UGGGGAAUAUUGGGCAAUGGGGGCAACCCUGACCCAGCGACGCCGCGUGAGGGAAGAAGGUUUUCGGAUUGUAAACCUCUGUCUUUGGGGACGAAUAAAUGACGGUACCCAAGGAGGAAGCCACGGCUAACUACGUGCCAGCAGCCGCGGUAAUACGUAGGUGGCAAGCGUUGUCCGGAAUUACUGGGUGUAAAGGGAGCGUAGGCGGGGAUUCAAGUUGAAUGUUAAAACGAUCGGCUCAACCGGUCGUCGCGUUCAAAACUAGAUCUCUUGAGUGAAGUAGAGGUAGGCGGAAUUCCUAGUGUAGCGGUGAAAUGCGUAGAUAUUAGGAGGAACACCAGUGGCGAAGGCGGCCUACUGGGCUUAUACUGACGCUGAGGCUCGAAAGUGUGGGUAGCAAACA
rnacentral:rRNA from 1 species